AGAUCAUCACAACAGAAUGAAGGUGCAAUCGCAAUGGAGCUGGAGGUUGAACCGAGGAAUAAUCAUAUUUGUCAUGAAGCUCUUCGUACAACACUGGAUAGUUUAAGGUGCUUAUAAAUGAACACAUGCGAUGCCUAAUAGGAACGUGGCGGAGCACGCCGGCGAGUUCGUCCGCGCCAAUGGGGUCGCCGAUACUAAACAGAAACUUGAAAACAGUGGCAUGCAAUAUUAUCUCAAGAACAGUACAAGCUCCUGAUUUCUAGAGAGCCGAUCAUACCAAUCUUGUUUGAUUUGAUUGGGGAUUAUGAAGGGAUCCAGUUAAAGUGAUCAUGUGAAAAAUACAAAGAUCAAGAAAUUUUCAUACCUAGAGGACCUCGCCUUCUUGGUGCUCCUUGCUUACAAGAAGGUACUCCUAGGGAAUUGGUCCUCCAAGUAUGGGUAUUUUGAUCCCUUGAUAUCUGUGAUGGGCGAAGGGAGAGUAAGGAGGGGGUGAGGGAUGGCCUUGGAGGUUAACAUAUAUAGAUGCACCUAAUGCAUCAUCGACCUAUUGCAACGUCAACAUCGACUGGGUACGAGUGGCCAUAGGUCACAAGGGGGCGUGGAGCUGCUGCAGACCAUCUGUGACAGAGCAUAAUCCAGCUACUUUGCCCAGGUCGGUACAUCUUCCACACGACUACAUGGUAGCAACUUGAAGAAAAAUCUUCCUUUUUUUGCUUCCAUGACCUGAUAUCCUCCUCGAUGAUGUAUCGUGGUGCCGUGACCCGGCCUAAAAGGCAGGGCCUGGGCGAAGACAUAUCCCCGACAGCCAAGACAAGGCCACAGUGGUGAAGACUGUGGUGAGAAAGAGCAGACUCCAGCGAAUUUGACCAGCCAGGAACACAUACAAGAUAAUCAAUGCUUUAUCAGAAACAUAUUGAGCAUGACAGAUAAAUGUGGAUCCUAUGUGAACUUGAAGAUUGGUGACAAUUGAGGCUUGAUAUUUUUUGACGCAUUCAAAUGUACUUUCAAGGAGCAGUGAGACCCAUUUGAAGCUGGUCAAUGUACUUUCAGGGAGCAGUGAGGAAGUUUUUUGGCACACAAGAAAGCUGGGUAGAUGUCGCGGCUGGGGUGUUCUCUUCUCCCUGCGGUGUUAGGCUCUGUUACGGAUGAGUCGAGAACGCCCCACCAGCCUCCACUGCACCUCCAUUGGAGCUGUCGAGAGCAUCUCAGAUACCGAAGAAAUAAAUCAAUGCCAUGCAGAUCAUGCAUCCCGUCUGGGUGUCCAAGAGCGAAAGUCGGAUGUCAAUGCAUUCGAUGUAUUUGAAACAAUGGAUGUAAGACAGAAUCAAUUAGUGGAUAUUUCAACAAUGGAUGUAAGACAGAACCAAUGCGCGGAUCUGUUGAAAGUAUGUACUGUAAGCACAACUGUUGUAAUACCUACCCAGAAACUGGGAAACUGGGAAUCGGCGGCGCCUCCAAAACGGGAACGCGGCGCCGUCGGUUUCUGUGCGUGAUCGGCGGCGCCUCCAAAACGGCAACGCGGUGCCGUCCGCUGAAGGGCGGCGGAGGCGAAACUUAGGAUCGGCAGCGGCAAAGGCAAUGAUGUCCGGCGGGGGCGAGGGGAUGGAUCGGGCGAGCGAAGGAGAGGUUGGCGGCGGCGGCGGAAGAUCAGAUGUGGGCACGACGCAUCGAUCGGGCGUUUUUUUUGGCGUUAGAGGUGUGACGUAACGUGGGCGGGGCGUUAGACGAAGAAAAACCAGCGAAGGGAGGGAUGGUGGGAGGAUAGACGAUAAAAAACCAGUGAAAAAACCCGGAAGACUAUUCACCAACUGCUAUAUUAGGAGUAGAGAUAUACCACAAUGGAGGAUGUUACAAAGUCUACCCUGUACUUAUGAUUCAGUUCACGUUCCAUACACAAGAGAAUUUGAUGCUUGUGCUUA